AUUGAACGCUGGCGGCAGGCCUAACACAUGCAAGUCGAACGAGUGGCGGACGGGUGAGUAAUGUCUGGGAAACUGCCUGAUGGAGGGGGAUAACCACUAGAAACGGUAGCUAAUACCGCAUACCAUCAGAUGUGCCCAGAUGGGAUUAGCUAGUUGGUGGGGUAACGGCUCACCAAGGCGACGAACCCUAGCUGGUCGGAGAGGAUGACCAGCCACCCUGGAACUGAGACACUGUCCAGACUCGUACGGGGGGCAUCAGUGGGGAAUAUUGCACAAUGGGCGCAAGCCUGAUGCAGCAAUGCCGCGUGUAUGAAGCAGGACUUCGGGUUGUAAAGUACUUUCAGCGGUGAGGCGUUACCCGCAGAAGAAGCACCGGCUAACUCCGUGCCAGCAGCCGCGGUAAUAC
rnacentral:rRNA from 1 species